GGUUCUCCCCGAAAGCUAUUUAGGUAGCGCCUCGUGAAUUCAUCUCCGGGGGUAGAGCACUGUUUCGGCUAGGGGGCCAUCCCGGCUUACCAACCCGAUGCAAACUGCGAAUACCGGAGAAUGUUAUCACGGGAGACACACGGCGGGUGCUAACGUCCGUCGUGAAGAGGGAAACAACCCAGACCGCCAGCUAAGGUCCCAAAGUCAUGGUUAAGUGGGAAACGAUGUGGGAAGGCCCAGACAGCCAGGAUGUUGGCUUAGAAGCAGCCAUCAUUUAAAGAAAGCGUAAUAGCUCACUGGUCGAGUCGGCCUGCGCGGAAGAUGUAACGGGGCUAAACCAUGCACCGAAGCUGCGGCAGCGAACGUAUCACCCAAGACAACUUUACGGAGUUGACGAUUGACGGAGCGAAGCGACGUCAAAGCGUUCAUUAAAGUCGAGUUGGCUUAGGGAUACGUUCGUUGGGUAGGGGAGCGUUCUGUAAGCCUGUGAAGGUGUGUCGUGAGGCAUGCUGGAGGUAUCAGAAGUGCGAAUGCUGACAUAAGUAACGAUAAAGCGGGUGAAAAGCCCGCUCGCCGGAAGACCAAGGGUUCCUGUCCAACGUUAAUCGGGGCAGGGUGAGUCGACCCCUAAGGCGAGGCCGAAAGGCGUAGUCGAUGGGAAACGGGUUAAUAUUCCCGUACUUGGUGUUACUGCGAAGGGGGGACGGAGAAGGCUAUGUUGGCCGGGCGACGGUUGUCCCGGUUUAAGCGUGUAGGUGUGUGUUCCAGGUAAAUCCGGUU
rnacentral:rRNA from 1 species